CUGGCCUUGACAUGCUGAGAACUUUCCAAAGAUGGAUUGGUGCCUUCGGGAACUCAGACACAGGUGCUGCAUGGCGUUGUCAGCUCGUGUCGUGAGAUGUUGGGUUAAGUCCCGUAACGAGCGCAACCCUUGUCCUUAGUUACCAGCACGUUAUGGUGGGCACUCUAAGGAGACUGCCGGUGACAAACCGGAGGAAGGUGGGGAUGACGUCAAGUCAUCAUGGCCCUUACGGCCAGGGCUACACACGUGCUACAAUGGUCGGUACAAAGGGUUGCCAAGCCGCGAGGUGGAGCUAAUCCCAUAAAACCGAUCGUAGUCCGGAUCGCAGUCUGCAACUCGAC
rnacentral:rRNA from 1 species